rnacentral:rRNA from 1 species
UACAGAGGGUGCGAGCGUUGUUCGGAAUUACUGGGCGUAAAGGGCGCGUAGGCGGCCUGCUAAGUCGAACGUGAAAUCCCCGGGCUCAACCCGGGAACUGCGUCCGAUACUGGCAGGCUUGAAUUCGGGAGAGAGAUGCGGAAUUCCAGGUGUAGCGGUGAAAUGCGUAGAUAUCUGGAGGAACACCGGUGGCGAAGGCGGCGAUCUGGCCCAACAUUGACACUGAGACUCGAAAGCGCGGGGAUCAAACAGG